UACGUAGGGUCCGAGCGUUAAUCGGAAUACUGGGCGUAAAGCGUGCGCAGGCGGUUAUGCAAGACAGAUGUGAAAUCCCCGGGCUCAACCUGGGAACUGCAUUUGUGACUGCAUGGCUAGAGUUUGGCAGAGGGGGGUAGAAUUCCACGUGUAGCAGUGAAAUGCGUAGAUAUGUGGAGGAACACCGAUGGCGAAGGCAGCCCCCCUGGGGUCAAGG
rnacentral:rRNA from 1 species